CGAUGGAUUGUAACUUAGAAUUGCUUUUUGUUCCGAUAUUUUGUCAAAGACCUGGAAAGUCAAUGGAAAGAGUCGGAUGGUGGGAAGGGCCCUUACCCUGUCACAGGGAAACAGACAAUGAUCACAAUCCAGGAACACACAACAGUCAGGCUGUGUGUAAAGUCACAACGAUGAGAGGCGGCGGUGAGGUGACCUGCCAGGAGAGACAUCUCUUGCAGCAGAUCUGAGAGCCUGUGGGUCUGUCUUCAGAUUCUCUCCACCGCUGUCGUCUAACGUCUUCACGGAAAGGCACUGAAUUCCCAGUACUCCGGCCUCAGUGCUACCCAGUGGAAUAAAAGUUGUAAAACAAAAA